rnacentral:rRNA from 1 species
GGCGAACGCUGGCGGCGUGCUUAACACAUGCAAGUCGAACGGAAAGGCCCUGCUUUUGUGGGGUGCUCGAGUGGCGAACGGGUGAGUAACACGUGAGUAACCUGCCCUUGAUUUUGGGAUAACUUCAGGAAACUGGGGCUAAUACCGGAUAGGAGCUCCUGCUGCAUGGUGGGGGUUGGAAAGUUUCGGCGGUUGGGGAUGGACUCGCGGCUUAUCAGCUUGUUGGUGGGGUAGUGGCUUACCAAGGCUUUGACGGGUAGCCGACAUGAGGAGGUGACCGGCCAAAUUGGGACUGAGAUACGGCCCAGACUCCUACGGGAGCGAGCGGUGGGGAAUAUUGCACAAUGGCGGGAAGCCUGAUGCAGCAACGCCGCGUGCGGAAUGAAGGCCUUCGGGUUGUAAACCGCUUUCGCCUGUGACGAAGCGUGAGUGACGGUAAUGGGUAAAGAAACCCCGGCUAACUACGUG